UACGGAAAAGGCGAUGGAGUUCGCCAUAACCGCGCGGUUCCGAAGGAGCCGUUGCUGAUAACUCCUACCGCGAG
rnacentral:ncRNA from 2 species